CCUACGGGAGGCAGCAGUGAGGAAUAUUGGUCAAUGGCCGGAAGGCUGAACCAGCCAAGCCGCGUGAAGGACGAAGGUGCCACGCAUUGUAAACUUCUUUUGUCAAGGGACAAAAUCAGGCUCGAGAGCCUGACCGAGUGUACUUGAAGAAAAAGCAUCGGCUAACUCCGUGCCAGCAGCCGCGGUAAUACGGAGGAUGCGAGCGUUAUCCGGAUUUAUUGGGUUUAAAGGGUGCGUCGGGGGACGGUUAAGUCAGCGGUAAAAGCCCGGGGCUCAACGCCGGCGUGCCGUUGAAACUGGCGGUCUUGAGAUGUCGAGAGGUAGGCGGAAUGCGCAGUGUAGCGGUGAAAUGCUUAGAUAUUGCGCAGAACUCCGAUUGCGAAGGCAGCAUACCGGCGGCGAUCUGACGCUGAGGCACGAAAGCGUGGGUAUCGAACAGGAUUAGAUACCCUUGUAGUC
rnacentral:rRNA from 1 species